rnacentral:lncRNA from 1 species
AUGCCUUCUGAAAACUUUGCAAUGGGAAUUUUUCUCUUCUGCCAGAUUAUAGUGGGAAUCCUAGGCAAUUCCUCAAUACUAUUUUAUUAUAUCAUUUUGAUGUUCACUGGAAAGCAUUUAGUAUCCAAAGAUCUGAUUAUAGAGCACUUGACUAUUGCCAGCUGCUUGACUAUCAUCUUAAGAGGCAUUCCACAGAUAAUGUCAUAUAUUGGAUUUAAUUUUUUUCUGGAUGAUAUUGGAUGUAAAUUGAUCGUGUAUAUUUCAAGAGUAACAAGAGGGAUGUCCCUGUAUGCAAUGUGCCUAUUGAGUUGUUUCCAAGCAGUCAUAAUCAGACCCGGCAAUUCCAGGUGGACGAAGUAAAAUACAGAGCCAACAAUUGAAUUGGUCCCUCCUGCUCAGUUAGUUGGCUUUUACACCUAGUUCUAAACAUCUUGAUUGCAGCAAGAGUGUCAGUUCCCACUUACAAGGAAAAUGUGACUAACAGGUUGAGCUAUGCAUACUGCUCAUUGUUUGCUUCUGACAAUGUGAAAACUGUACUAUAUAUGUUCAUACCGUGCUUCUCUGAUGUUCUGUGUCUCAUGACCUGCUCAAGUAUCUCCAUGGUUAAUAUCCUCUACAGUCAUAAGAGACAAGUCAAACAUAUUCACAGUGCUCAACACUUUCUGAAAGUCUUACCUGAAGACAGAGCCACUAAGACUACCCUCAUCCUGCUGUGCAUAUUUGUCAUCUUACUCAUUCUCUUCUUUUGUGGCUGUCAUUAUGUCCUCCUCCAAAUAUCCAGUGCCAUGGCCAAUAAAUAUAUUUACAUUGAUAGAAAUAUGC